rnacentral:rRNA from 1 species
UACGAAGGGGGCUAGCGUUGCUCGGAAUCACUGGGCGUAAAGGGUGCGUAGGCGGGGUUUUUAGUCAGGGGUGAAAUCCUGGAGCUCAACUCCAGAACUGCCUUUGAUACUGGCGAGCUUGAGUUCGGGAGAGGUGAGUGGAACUGCGAGUGUAGAGGUGAAAUUCGUAGAUAUUCGCAAGAACACCAGUGGCGAAGGCGGCUCACUGGCCCGAUACUGACGCUGAGGUGCGAAAGCGUGGGGAGCAAACAGG